rnacentral:rRNA from 1 species
CCUACGGGAGGCAGCAGUAGGGAAUCUUCCACAAUGGGCGCAAGCCUGAUGGAGCAACACCGCGUGAGUGAAGAAGGGUUUCGGCUCGUAAAGCUCUGUUGUUGGAGAAGAACGUGCGUGAGAGUAACUGUUCACGCAGUGACGGUAUCCAACCAGAAAGUCACGGCUAACUACGUGCCAGCAGCCGCGGUAAUCCGUAGGUGGCAAGCGUUUUCCGGAUUUAUUGGGCGUAAAGCGAGCGCAGGCGGUUGCUUAGGUCUGAUGUGAAAGCCUUCGGCUUAACCGAAGAAGGGCAUCGGAAACCGGACAACUUGAGUGCAGAAGAGGACAGUGGAACUCCAUGUGUAGCGGUGGAAUGCGUAGAUAUAUGGAAGAACACCAGUGGCGAAGGCGGCUGUCUGGUCUGCAACUGACGCUGAGGCUCGAAAGCAUGGGUAGCGAACAGGAUUAGAUACCCUUGUAGUC